AUGAGUUAGGGUCUUAUAGGCCCGAUCUCCAACCCUUUGUAUAACUACCAUGUUGCUUUGACGGGCCCGUCUUCGGACCGUUGGAGGUCGUUUGACCUCUGGCCCGUGCCCGUCAGUAGCCCACUACAAAUUCUUUUAAAUCAUGAUUUUUCUGAAAAACUAGUUAAAUAAACUA
rnacentral:misc_RNA from 1 species